GGAGACCCGGCUGAAGAGGCAGCGGCGGUGUUAGCGUUGGGGGCGGGGCAGGAAAGGAUGGGUGCCUGCUCUACCUGCGCUGAGGGAGGAGGCCAGUAGAGUGGACGAAGAGAGGCACCGAGCCCCACAGGGUGAAAAGAAACCUUGGGGUGCAGGCCGGGAGUGGGGCAUCAUGUUAUUUCAGUCUGUUGAUUUCUUGAAUUUCCCAGAAUUACUGGACCAGAAGAUAGAAACACUUGGGUGGAAUUUCACCUCUUGCAGCUGCAACUGCUACUUCCCACAGAAUUUCCUUAUUAAACGGAGAAUUAGCAUGUGUUAAAGACAGAUUCACAUCUACUUGACUCUUUCUCUCUGAUGAAAAUAGAAAAAUUGAAAAAAAAAUUUUUAAGUGACAUCUUCGAAGAAAAAUGGGAACAACUGUUCAAAACACGGUGUGCCAGGA
ensembl:lncRNA